rnacentral:rRNA from 1 species
GACGGAGGAUGCAAGUGUUAUCCGGCAUCACUGGGCGUAAAGCGUCUGUAGGUGGUUUAAUAAGUCAACUGUUAAAUCUUGAGGCUCAACCUCAAAAUCGCAGUCGAAACUAUUAGGCUAGAGUAUAGUAGGGGUAAAGGGAAUUUCCAGUGGAGCGGUGAAAUGCGUAGAGAUCGGGAAGAACAUCGGUGGCGAAGGCGCUCUACUGGACCACAACUGACACUCAGGGACGAAAGCUAGGGGAGCGAAUGGG